CUUAUGGAGAUGCAGAAGCUGAAGCUAUGCAAAAAUUUGCUGAAGCUUUCAAGCCUAUUAAUUUUCCACCUGGUGCCUCUGUUUUCUACAGGCAAUCACCUGAUGGAAUAUUAGGGGUUAGUUAUAAUGCCAAUUAAUUCUGUUUCUUAACUAUUUUAAUUGAGGUUUACUGUUAAUUAAUUAAGAAAAUUAAGCCUUCCACUAAUACUAGUAUAUUAAAAACAUAUGUUGCAGCUUAGUUUCUCUCCUGAUACAAGUAUACCUGAAAAGGAGGCUGCACUUAUUGAGAACAAGGCAGUUUCAUCAGCAGUGUUGGAGACUAUGAUCGGCGAGCACGCUGUUUCCCCUGAUCUUAAGCGCUGUUUGGCUGCAAGAUUACCGGCGUUGUUGAACGAGGGUGCUUUCAAGAUUGGAAACUGAUCGAUCAUUAUACUCACUC
rnacentral:lncRNA from 1 species